rnacentral:lncRNA from 1 species
GCCCCAGCCCGGCUGGCAGUCGCGGGGCUGGGAAGGUAGGGAACCCUCCGCUCUCACCCCACUUCCUGUUUGGUCGGUGUGUUCUGUGACCAUAGAUGGUCAAGUCUGGGGCCGCGCGGAAGCCUCCGCCCUGUGGUUUUGGAGCCCUUCCUCCCGGCGCGCAGGGUGUGGUCCCCGAGAAUAAGAUGAGCAGAAUUAAAGCAGAUCCUGCACCCACUCUGCUGAAAUCCGGCUUCUGAGGCAGCCUCGCCCAGGGCUGGGUGGGCUCAGGCGGCUGCUACUCGGUUCAGGGGAGGUUACGCACGGUGGCUGCCGCGCGCAGGGGAGGCUUCGCUUCCGUACUCCUUGGGCCGGGAGAUCCGAUCUUUGUUCCCUCAAGACUCACACUCUCCAACCGGUCAUUAUCCUCCCACAAAGAUUUAUUUCUAGAAAAAAUUGGCAAGUGCCACAGUUCCCGCCCCUUCAGCUGAACGACUGUGACAGCUCCGUGUUUCAAGUUGAAUGCAGGCGUUAUGUGCCAGAGUCAAUCAUUCAACAAAUAAAGUUCUUAAAAUAACAGCUACCAUUUACUGCACGCUGACUACUUGCCAGGCCCAUGCUGAGUUCUUCAAGCGUAUUUUCAUUUACUCCUAAUAGCAACUCUCGGUGGUAGGUACCAUUAUGCCCUCUAGUUUUCAAAUGAGGAAGCUGAAUAACUUGCCAAGGUCAGAAAGUAACUGUUGAAACUUUGAAGGAAACACAUCUGUCUGACUCUAAAUCCCAUGAGCUUAAUUAGCCCCUGUGAUAGACCAUACUGCAGACAUUUGAGGCAGAUUUGAGGUGGUGAAUGCCUCUGGAUCUGGAGACACUGGGUUCCAGUGCUGGCAUAGGCCCUCUACUAGGGGUCAGACUUUGGUCAGGUUACUUUGGACGGGUUACUGGGCCUCUUCCUAACUUUAUGGCUCCCAGCAUGUUUAAAAGAACAUGACAACAUGAAAAAAUAUGGUAUAAAAGUCAUAGUAUAUUUUAAAUAUUGACAUUUAACUAAAAACACUGUCUCACACACACACAAACUCUAACUUUAUUUGGACAUAAUCUUUGACUCUGCAUUUAGUUAUUCUAAAUCUCUUUCUGGAUUAGAGACAGAAGGAACAUAGACCAUACACGCAUUCUAGAGGAAGAGGAGAGAGAAGAGGAAGCAGGAAGGAGAAUGAAGAAAGUUUCCUCAUCAGCUUUUUCCUCCUCGCUGAUCUUGCCCCUUGUCCAGUACCCAGUGCUUCAUCCAUGUCUCUCUUGCAGAUAACUAUGGCCGUGUGCCUGAGAUCUGGCCAAUGGAAUCGUGGACAGUUCUCCAUGCUCUUUCUCCUUCUGUGGCAACUCUGAAUGUCGUGUGUUCAAGAUGAAGACAGAAGAUAGAAUGACCUUGGGUCUCUGAAUCAUUGCUUGGAGAAGAGCAAUUUACUGAUCAGUGGUGUGAAAAUAAGUAAUUCAAAAUCUAAGCUAUUGGGCCAGGUGCAGUGGCUCACGCCUGUAACCCCAGCACUUUGGGAAACCAAGGCAGGUGGAUCAUUUGAGGUCAGGAGUUCGAGACCAGCCUGGCCAACAGGGUGAAACCCCGUCGCUACUAAAAAUACAAAAAAUUAGCCGGGCAUGGUGGCAUACGCCUGUGGCCCCAGCUACUUGGGAGGCUAGGGCACGAGAAACACUUAAGCCCAGGAGGCGGAAGUUGCAGUGAGCCAAGACUGCACCACUGCAUGCUAGCCUGGGCAAGAGAGCAAGACUCUGCCUCAAAAAAAAAAAAAAAAAGAAAAAAAUCUAAGCUGUUGGAACAUUAAAUUAUUUUGAGCUUUAAAGAAAUGUGUUUAUGAGACUUGAGUCAUGUGACAGGCAGCUGUAACCUAGGAAACUGUAAACAUUUUUUCUCUGAUUAUAGAUUAGCCUCCUUCCUUAUCUACAUAAUUUUGUAAAAUGUUGUAAAUGACUAAAGGGUACUUCCCUUUAGUCCCACUUCACUGCUGAUCUUCAUUGCAGAUUAACUUCCUUCCUACCUCUCUCACACAAAGCCUUCAUGACUGUUACAUUAUAUACUCUUUUAAAUUAGAAAAUAAAUGAAACCAAGCCACAAGGAAAAGAAAACAAAUUAACUAAUUGAAUUGUUUUAAUUCAUAAACCAGCUUUGUAUAAGAAAUAAUCCUGUUAAAUUUCUUUGUUUUCUUCCUUUAUAAACAAGACCUUAACUUUUGACAUCAGAGCACGGACCCCAUUUCACUGACCCCAUUUUCACGGAAUAAACGCCUUAAAAAAAUUUUUUUAAUAGAAACAGAGUCUCACUUUGAUGCCCAGUCUAGUCUUGAACUCCUGGCUUUAAGCAAUUCUCCUUCUUGGUCUGCCAAAGUGCUGGAAUUACUGGUGUGAGCCACUGUGCCCAGC